GGGGGCGAAACGGCUUCGACGGGGAUAAAGAAACUUAAGCUGCAUGCCGAGGUUCUGUUUGCUCGUUAAACAGGCAGAAAACAAUAAACGCAGACGAUUAUGCGUAUG
rnacentral:tmRNA from 1 species